rnacentral:rRNA from 1 species
GGGGAAUCUUAGACAAUGGGGGCAACCCUGAUCUAGCCAUGCCGCGUGAGUGAAGAAGGCCUUAGGGUUGUAAAGCUCUUUCACCUGUGAGGAUGAUGACAGUAGCAGGAUAAGAAGGACCGGCUAACUCCGUGCCAGCAGCCGCGGUAAGACGGAGGGUCCUAGCGUUGUUCGGAAUGACUGGGCGUAAAGGGUACGUAGGCGGUUUGGUCAGUUAGAUGUGAAAGCCCAGGGCUUAACCUUGGAAUUGCAUUUAAUACUGCCAGACUUGAGAUCGGAAGAGGAAAGCGGAAUUUCUAGUGUAGAGGUGAAAUUCGUAGAUAUUAGAAGGAACAUCAGAGGCGAAGGCG